rnacentral:rRNA from 1 species
UACGUAGGGGGCAAGCGUUGUCCGGAUUUAUUGGGCGUAAAGAGCGUGUAGGCGGUUUGGUAGGUCCGUUGUGAAAACUCGAGGCUCAACCUCGAGACGCCGAUGGAAACCAUCAGACUAGAGUCCGGAAGAGGAGAGUGAAAUUCCUGGUGUAGCGGUGAAAUGCGCAGAUAUCAGGAAGAACACCCGUGGCUAAGGCGGCUCUCUAGUACGGUACUGACGCUGAGACGCGAAAGCGUGGGGAGCGAACGGG